UACGGAGGGGGCUAGCGUUGUUCGGAAUUACUGGGCGUAAAGCGCACGUAGGCGGACUGUUAAGUCGGGGGUGAAAUCCUGGGGCUCAACCUCAGAAUUGCCUCCGAUACUGGCGGUCUCGAGUCCGGGAGAGGUGAGUGGAACUGCGAGUGUAGAGGUGAAAUUCGUAGAUAUUCGCAAGAACACCAGUGGCGAAGGCGGCUCACUGGCCCGGUACUGACGCUGAGGUGCGAAAGCGUGGGGAGCAAACAGG
rnacentral:rRNA from 1 species